rnacentral:rRNA from 1 species
UCCGUAGGUGAACCUGCGGAAGGAUCAUUACUAGAGCAAAGGAUAGACACUACCCUACUUCGGUAGGGUUUAGAGUCGUCGGGCCUCUCGGAGAAGCUCGGUCCUGAACUCCACCCUUGAAUAAAUUACCUUUGUUGCUUUGGCGGGCCGCCUCGUGCCAGCGGCUUCGGCUGUCGAGUGCCCGCCAGAGGACCACAACUCUUGUUUUUAGUGAUGUCUGAGUACUAUAUAAUAGUUAAAACUUUCAACAACGGAUCUCUUGGUUCUGGCAUCGAUGAAGAACGCAGCGAAAUGCGAUAAGUAAUGUGAAUUGCAGAAUUCAGUGAAUCAUCGAAUCUUUGAACGCACAUUGCGCCCUCUGGUAUUCCGGGGGGCAUGCCUGUUCGAGCGUCAUUAUAACCACUCAAGCUCUCGCUUGGUAUUGGGGUUCGCGGUUCGCGGCCCCUAAAAUCAGUGGCGGUGCCUGUCGGCUCUACGCGUAGUAAUACUUCUCGCGAUUGAGUCCGAUAGGUCUACUUGCCAGUAACCCCCAAUUUUUACAGGUUGACCUCGGAUCAGGUAGGGAUACCCGCUGAACUUAAGCAUAUCAAUAAGCGGAGGA